rnacentral:rRNA from 1 species
GACGAACGCUGGCGGCGUGCUUAACACAUGCAAGUCGAGCGGUAAGGCCCCUUCGGGGGUACGACGAGCGGCGAACGGGUGAGUAACACGUGGGUGACCUGCCCUCAGCUCUGGGAUAAGCCUGGGAAACUAGGGUCUAAUACCGGAUAUGACUCCAUGACGCAUGUCGUGGGGUGGAAAGCCUUGUGCGGCUGGGGAUGGGCCCGCGGCCGUAUCAGCUUGUUGGUGGGGUGAUGGCCUACCAAGGCGACGACGGGUAGCCGGCCUGAGAGGGCGACCGGCCACACUGGGACUGAGACACGGCCCAGACUCCUACGGGAGGCAGCAGUGGGGAAUCUUGCGCAAUGGGCGAAAGCCUGACGCAGCGACGCCGCGUGAGGGAUGACGG